UUGGAGGGCAAGUCUGGUGCCAGCAGCCGCGGUAAUUCCAGCUCCAAUAGCGUAUAUUAAAGUUGUUGAGGUUAAAAAGCUCGUAGUUGAACCUUGGGCCUAGCCGGCCGGUCCGCCUCACCGCGUGCACUGGCUCGGCUGGGUCUUUCCUUCUGGAGAACCGCAUGCCCUUCACUGGGUGUGCCGGGGAACCAGGACUUUUACUCUGAAACAAAUUAGAUCGCUUAAAGAAGGCCUAUGCUCGAAUACAUUAGCAUGGAAUAAUAGAAUAGG
rnacentral:rRNA from 1 species